GACUCUCGGCAACGGAUAUCUCGGCUCUCGCAUCGAUGAAGAACGUAGCGAAAUGCGAUACCUGGUGUGAAUUGCAGAAUCCCGCGAACCAUCGAGUCUUUGAACGCAAGUUGCGCCCGAGGCCACCCAGCCAAGGGCACGCCUGCCUAGGCGUCA